UUCCGGCCCUGGCCGGAAGGGGAGGCCCCGCGGGCGCAGCGCGAGCCCCGGGCGCCUCUGGGAGAAGAGCAGCCGGGAGGUGUCUCGUUGACGGGAAGGGACUCUGCGGGCCUUUGGGGCUGCUCGCGGGCCCGGGACCCGCCGCCCGACGGGGUCACGGCAGCGGAGCGGCGCGUCCCCCGGGUCCGACCCCGAGCAGUGAUGGCGCCCCCAGCCCUGUCCAACCCUAAGCAGUGGAGCCCCCGGCCGCACCCGCGUCCGACCCUGAGUAGCCCAGGGGCGCCUGGGUGGCUUCGACCGCCCGUUAAGCCUCUGACUUUUCAUUUCGGCCCAGGUCAUGAGGUCGAGCCCUGCGUCCUUCACGCUGGGCUUGGAGUCUGCUUGAGAUUCUCGCUGCCUCCCUCUCUGUCCCUCCCUGCUCACACUCCCUCUCUUUAAAAAAAAUUAAGAGAAAAUAGUCCUCCCUUAAGCACAUAUGUCGUCACGCACGGAAAUCAAGUUCUCCGACAAGGAUCUCAGCGCGGUGCGGGACCGCGUCUGCGAGAGCAGCGCCAGCUGGAUUCUGCACAGAGCAUUGGUUUUUAUCAGAAAAGCAAGGACAGAUGCCUCCAGGCGCGGGACAGGAGUACAAAGGGGCAAAUAUCUUGAAGCCCUGGAGCUGCCUGCACUCUCCCAGACGCGCAGGCACGCAGUCACGGGGUUAGAGAGGAGCGGGAUGUGCGUGCUAGCCAUCGCCAGGUGCAGAAAGGGGCACUGAGGGUUACAUUCUUUACUGGCUCCUGACCUAUGCCCUGCCCCUGGGGAUCCUGGGAUGCUGUUCCUUCCGGGCCAUUGCGUUCAAUACCCUGAGAGCAGGAACGCUGCUGACGUUUCCACUGCUUCCCGUCACCCCUUAGGGCUGACAAUAUGCUUUCUAAGAAUAACUCCACAGUCCCCCUUUAUGUUUAGUGGGAUAUGUAGGUGGGCUACUGAAGGGGGUGGCGAGGAUCUGCGUGGUCGCUACAAGUGUGUUUUGGGUCCUCCAGGCGGAACAGCAGGAGAGGCUUGCCUUGACCACUGUAAGGAGAAAGGAGAUCAGUAUAAGCAGUACAGCCAUGUGAAACCAAGAGCGGGGUUUGAGUUCAGAAAACCAGUUUUUUGGAUAGAGCUAGGUGGAAAUGUCAUUGAGAGUAUUAAUGGUAGCUUGUUGACUUUCUUGUUGGAGUUCCUGUAUUUGUGCUUGUAACCUAAGUUUUAGGUUUUCAAUGGAGAGGGAUGCCUGGGCGGCUCAGUCAGUUAAGUGUCUGCCUUCAGCUCAGGGCAUGAUCCCAGGGUCCUGGGAUGGAGUCCGGCAUCAGGCUCCCUGCUCAGCCGGGAGUCUGCUUCUCCUUCUGCCUCCCCCACAGCUUGUGCAUGCACACUCUCUCUCUCUCGCUGACAAAUAAAAUCUUAAAAAAAGAAAAAAAAAAGAUUUUCAAUGGAGAGAUUCAAGGAGGAGGAAAAGGCUUAAUAAAGAUGAAUUUUCAGUUGCCCCCAAGACUUCUUGUAGGGAAUUGAAGUAAUGCAGUAGGAUGUCAACUCCGAGUCACAGGUUAAUUGGGGUCUGGUCCAGAGUGCUUGUUGAUGUUCUCCUAACCAGACAACAGUGGCUUCUAAAGCCAGCAGUCUAGCUAAAAUUUGUUAAUUUUGACCUGUUGUUCUAAAUCAGUUGUAGUGUUCUGCAUAUAUGAAUGCACUUGGUGUGCCCUUUGGAGGGAGGGAGCCAAAGAUGUGGCAGUGGUUGCCGUGGUAGCGGCUACAGCCCUGAUGGCUGAGAUAGCUGCCAGUGGGAUCCCUAAGACCUGUUCUACAGCACCCUGUGAGGAGAGGUCUUUGAUAGGUGUUGGUUCAUUUUUCCUCCUCUUGGCUGAUGGCAUGCUGGCUGGUGGAGUUACCGACCUCAGGUUGAAGCAUGGAAGCCGGUGUUUGAAUUCUUCGUGCCAGCUAUCAGCCGAGCGGGUAGCCACAGAGGACCUUGUGGAGAACGCGCAGCAGCGUGACCUCUCCCCCAGGAAUUGGGUUAUGCGAUGGGACAUAUAAGCUGGGCCAUUGCCUGUUUACGUUUUUUGGGGACGCCCAUUUUGGCAAAGCAUUGCAAAAGAUGAUCGAUGACAUGAGAGGAGCUUCACCGCUCUGAGCGGAGGCCCAUAUAUAUCCAGGGGACUGACUCCUCCAGGAAGAUGAGCAGAAGAAAAUCGUUGGCGGUCGGGACAGAAGCGUAUGCUGUGUUUUGCUUGUGAAAGAGAGACUGCCCCUUGGUGAAGAAAGGACUGAGAAUCCAAGGCAGAGGAGAAUAAAGAUCCACCCCUCCUACGGCUGCUUUGGGGCCAUCGAUGAACACGGAGCUGCAAUCGAAGAGAGUGGUGAGAGGCGACCCUGUGUUUGGGUUGGGCUGGGAGGAAAAGCCUUUCAAGAACAAGGCAUUUAUCAGGCAGAACUUGGCAGAUUACCCUGUAAGGGGAGUGAGGGGUGUUCAAGACAAGGACAGUCACGUGGGCAGAGGGAUCGCUGCCGUCCAACCAAGUAGAGGUUUGUCGUUGGGAUAAAACAUCUAGUUGGUUUCCUCGAGGCGUCAUGGGUCGUGUGGACGCACGGUUUGGAUCUCCCUGUAAUUAGUUAAAGAGGGAGGUCAACUGGCAAGUAGGAAUUUCUAAAGUGGGACACAGCCAAUUAAUGUGCCCGAGGAGUGAGCUAAACGUGAAGUGGCGACGGAAAAUGGAUAGCGAUCUAUCGAGGAGUGACUGUCUGCGACACCGGCCUAUACUCCAGAAACUCCGUGGAGCUGCCCGUGGUAUUUUCUCAGGAGCGAUGAGCAAACCCGCGGCGGUGACUGAGUCAAUAAGAAAUUGUAUACAUGUACGGAGAAGGGUGUUACUAUCUGAAGCAAGCGGAUGUCUUCCGUGUCGUGAUCAAUCCGUAUGCGUGGGAAUCUAUUUCUGGGUGAAGCUGGGCAACUGGUUCCUCCAACCCACAUGGGGCUGAGGAUCCUUCAGCUGGUUCAGCAGGAAGCUCGUGUGGACACGCACCCGGCAUCCUGGGGGCCGGGCUCUGGGCUCUGCGCCCGCCCCUCCACUCCGCCCCAGCCACGCCCCGGCCUGCGCGCCAGGCCAGAGUGGACGACACUCCGUC